rnacentral:rRNA from 1 species
UUGAACGCUGGCGGCAGGCCUAACACAUGCAAGUCGAGCGGAUGAAGGGAGCUUGCUCCUGGAUUCAGCGGCGGACGGGUGAGUAAUGCCUAGGAAGCUGCCUGGUAGUGGGGGAUAACGUCCGGAAACGGGCGCUAAUACCGCAUACGUCCUGAGGGAGAAAGUGGGGGAUCUUCGGACCUCACGCUAUCAGAUGAGCCUAGGUCGGAUUAGCUAGUUGGUGGGGUAAAGGCCUACCAAGGCGACGAUCCGUAACUGGUCUGAGAGGAUGAUCAGUCACACUGGAACUGAGACACGGUACAGACUCCUACGGGAGGCCGCAGUGGGGAAUAUUGGACAAUGGGCGAAAGCCUGAUACAGCCAUGCCGCGUGUGUGAAGAAGGUCUUCGGAUUGUAAAGCACUUUAAGUUGGGAGGAAGGGCAGUAAGUUAAUACCUUGCUGUUUUGACGUUACCAACAGAAUAAGCACCGGCUAACUUCGUG